UUUCCGUAGGUGAACCUGCGGAAGGAUCAUUAAUGAGUUGUCAUGGGGUUCGAUGCUGGCAGCCAGUUUUUGGAUGCAUGUGCUUGCCCUAACAAUCAUCUUCUUCCAAACACCUGUGCACAUUUUUGAGGGAGUCUUGAGAUGGUUGCCGCUCUUGGGUGAUUUUCUCACAUUCCCUUAAAUCAUUAUACGCUAUUAACAAUGUUGAACGUGCUCUGUGCCGCAAGGCCAUUAAUAUAAUACAACUUUUAACAACGGAUCUCUUGGCUCUC
rnacentral:misc_RNA from 1 species